rnacentral:rRNA from 1 species
UACAGAGGGGGCAAGCGUUGUUCGGAAUUACUGGGCGUAAAGGGCGCGUAGGCGGCCUGCUAAGUCGAACGUGAAAUCCCUGGGCUCAACCCAGGAACUGCGUCCGAUACUGGUUGGCUUGAAUCCGGGAGAGGGAUGUGGAAUUCCAGGUGUAGCGGUGAAAUGCGUAGAUAUCUGGAGGAACACCGGUGGCGAAGGCGACAUCCUGGACCGGUAUUGACGCUGAGGCGCGAAAGCCAGGGGAGCAAACAGG